GACGAACGCUGGCGGCGUGCUUAACACAUGCAAGUCGAGCGGUAAGGCCCUUUCGGGGGUACACGAGCGGCGAACGGGUGAGUAACACGUGGGUGACCUGCCCUCAGCUCUGGGAUAAGCCCCGGGAAACUGGGUCUAAUACCGGAUAUGACUCCAUGACGCAUGUUGUGGGGUGAAAGCCUUGUGCGGCUGAGGAUGGGGCCCGCGGCCUAUCAGCUUGUUGGUGGGGUGAUGGCCUACCAAGGCGACGACGGGUAGCCGGCCUGAGAGGGCGACCGGCCACACUGGGACUGAGAUACGGGCCCAGACUCCUACGGGAGGCAGCAGUGGGGAAUCUUGCGCAAUGGGCGAAAGCCUGACGCAGCGACGCCGCGUGAGGGAUGACGGCCU
rnacentral:rRNA from 1 species